rnacentral:rRNA from 1 species
AUUGAACGCAGGCGGCAGGCUUAACACAUGCAAGUCGAGCGGAGAUGAGGUGCUUGCACCUUAUCUUAGCGGCGGACGGGUGAGUAAUGCUUAGGAAUCUGCCUAUUAGUGGGGGACAACAUUCCGAAAGGAAUGCUAAUACCGCAUACGUCCUACGGGAGAAAGCAGGGGGUCUUCGGACCUUGCGCUAAUAGAUGAGCCUAAGUCGGAUUAGCUAGUUGGUGGGGUAAAGGCCUACCAAGGCGACGAUCUGUAGCGGGUCUGAGAGGAUGACUCGCCACACUGAGACUGAGAAACGGCCCAGAGUCCUACGGGAGGAAGCAGUGGGGAAUAUUGGAAAAUGGGGGGAACCCUGAUCCAGCCAUGCCGCGUGUGUGAAGAAGGCCUUAUGGUUGUAAAGCACUUUAAGCGAGGAGGAGGCUGCUGAGACUAAUACUCUUGGAUAGUGGACGUUACUCGCAGAAUAAGCACCGGCUAACUCUGUGCCAGCCGCCGCAGUAAUAC